rnacentral:rRNA from 1 species
UACGGAGGGUGCAAGCGUUAUCCGGAUUUACUGGGUUUAAAGGGUGCGCAGGCGGCUAUGUAAGUCAGUGGUGAAAUCUCUAGGCUUAACCUGGAAAUUGCCGUUGAUACUAUAUAUCUUGAAUGUUGUGGAGGUAAGCAGAAUAUGUCAUGUAUCGGUGAAAUGCUUAGAUACGACAUAGAAUACCUAUUGCGAAGGCAGCUUACUACGCAGAUAUUGACGCUCAUGCACGAAAGCGUGGGGAUCAAACAGG